UCAAAAAUCUACCGUUUAAAAUGUUUCAAAUAUAACUAUGAUAUCAGAAGACACACCGACACGUUUUGCUCAUUUGUUAACGCCAUUGUACUGUAUGUUUACUGUCAUUUUAAUGUCACUUAGUACACUUGAUGUUACCUCUAUCUUAAGAUAGAAAAAUGCGCUCUGCAUAAAAGAGGACAGAUGACCCUAACAAAGGGAAGUCGCAGCUGCACUUGUGGCUUUCACAAUACCAAGGCAUCCUUCAUUCAAUAAGGCAAAACCCAAGUAUAGAUAUGUUAUG